GACAGAGGGUGCAAACGUUGUUCGGAAUUACUGGGCGUAAGGGGCUCGUAGGUGGCCAACUAAGUCAGACGUGAAAUCCCUCAGCUUAACUGGGGAACUGCGUCUGAUACUGGAUGGCUUGAGUUUGGGAGAGGGAUGCGGAAUUCCAGGUGUAGCGGUGAAAUUCGUAGAUAUUCGGAAGAACACCAGUGGCGAAGGCGGCUCACUGGCCCGGUACUGACGCUGAGGUGCGAAAGCGUGGGGAGCAAACAGG
rnacentral:rRNA from 1 species